GGGCAGGGUGAGUCGACCCCUAAGGCGAGGCCGAAAGGCGUAGUCGAUGGGAAACAGGUUAAUAUUCCUGUACUUGGUGUUACUGCGAAGGGGGGACGGAGAAGGCUAUGUUGGCCGGGCGACGGUUGUCCCGGUUUAAGCGUGUAGGCUGGUUUUCCAGGCAAAUCCGGAAAAUCAAGGCUGAGGCGUGAUGACGAGGCACUACGGUGCUGAAGCAACAAAUGCCCUGCUUCCAGGAAAAGCCUCUAAGCAUCAGGUAACAUCAAAUCGUACCCCAAACCGACACAGGUGGUCAGGUAGAGAAUACCAAGGCGCUUGAGAGAACUCGGGUGAAGGAACUAGGCAAAAUGGUGCCGUAACUUCGGGAGAA
rnacentral:rRNA from 1 species